AGAGUUUGAUCCUGGCUCAGGAUGAACGCUAGCGACAGGCUUAACACAUGCAAGUCGAGGGGCAGCACGGGUAGCAAUACCGGGUGGCGACCGGCGCACGGGUGAGUAACGCGUAUGCAACUUGCCUAUCAGAGGGGGAUAACCCGGCGAAAGUCGGACUAAUACCGCAUGAAGCAGGGGCCCCGCAUGGGGAUAUUUGCUAAAGAUUCAUCGCUGAUAGAUAGGCAUGCGUUCCAUUAGGCAGUUGGCGGGGUAACGGCCCACCAAACCGACGAUGGAUAGGGGUUCUGAGAGGAAGGUCCCCCACAUUGGUACUGAGACACGGACCAAACUCCUACGGGAGGCAGCAGUGAGGAAUAUUGGUCAAUGGGCGUAAGCCUGAACCAGCCAAGUCGCGUGAGGGAUGAAGGUUCUAUGGAUCGUAAACCUCUUUUAUAAGGGAAUAAAGUGCGGGACGUGUCCCGUUUUGUAUGUACCUUAUGAAUAAGGAUCGGCUAACUCCGUGCCAGCAGCCGCGGUAAUACGGAGGAUCCGAGCGUUAUCCGGAUUUAUUGGGUUUAAAGGGUGCGUAGGCGGCCUUUUAAGUCAGCGGUGAAAGUCUGUGGCUCAACCAUAGAAUUGCCGUUGAAACUGGGAGGCUUGAGUAUGUUUGAGGCAGGCGGAAUGCGUGGUGUAGCGGUGAAAUGCUUAGAUAUCACGCAGAACCCCGAUUGCGAAGGCAGCCUGCCAAGCCAUGACUGACGCUGAUGCACGAAAGCGUGGGGAUCAAACAGGAUUAGAUACCCUGUAGUCCACGCAGUAACGAUGAUCACUAGCUGUUUGCGAUACAUUGUAAGCGCACAGCGAAAGCGUUAGUAUCCACCUGGAGUACGCGCACGUGAAACUCAAGGAUGACGGGGCCCGCACAGCGAGACAUGUGUUAUCCGAUGAUACCGCGAGACUACCCGGCUGACUGCCAGUGACUCAUGCAGAGACGCAUGUUUCUCGACCUGGCGGAGGUGCUGCAUGGUGUCGUCACCUCUGCCGUGAGUGUCGCUAGUGCUAACGAGGCCACCUUCUCCCUGUUUGCCAUCGGGUUAAGCCGGGCACUCCAGGGACACUGCCAUCGUAAGAUGUGAGGAAGGUGGGGAUGACGUCAAAUCAGCACGGCCCUUACGUCCGGGGCUACACACGUGUUACAAUGGGCGGUACAGAAAGCAGCUACCCCGCGAGGGGAUGCCAAUCUCAAAAACCGUUCUCAGUUCGGACUGGAGUCUGCAACCCGACUCCACGAAGCUGGAUUCGCUAGUAAUCGCGCAUCAGCCAUGGCGCGGUGAAUACGUUCCCGGGCCUUGUACACACCGCCCGUC
rnacentral:rRNA from 1 species